rfam:Dufourea novaeangliae contig3107, whole genome shotgun sequence.
CCCGCUGAAUUUAAGCAUAUUACUAAGCGGAGGAAAAGAAACUAACAAGGAUUUCCUUAGUAGCGGCGAGCGAACAGGAAUGAGCCCAGCACUGUAGUGUUUAGGAGGGUCAACUAAAUCCUGAGAUGUCGAACUGCGUCCAAGUCCAUCUUGAAUGGGGCCAUUUACCCGUAGAGGGUGCCUGGCCCGUCGCGACCGGUACGCAUUUCGGGAGGACUCUCUUUAGAGUCGGGUUGCUGGAGAGUGCAACCCUAAGUGGGUGGUAAACUCCAUCUAAGGCUCUAAAUAUAACCACGAGACCGAUAGCGAACAAGUACCGUGAGGGAAAGUUGAAAAGAACUUUGAAGAAAGAGUUCAAGAGUACGUGAAACCGCUCAGGGGUAAACCUGAGAAACCCAAAAGAUCGAAUGGGGAGAUUCAUCGGCAGCGAAACUGGCUCCAGUUGGUGCGUGAUACCCUGACUUUGGGGCCUUCGUGGUUCCAAUGCGAGCGCACACCAUCUUCGGUGAACGUUCCGGCUAUAUGUAGUCGUGCACUUCUCCCUUAGUAGAACUUCGCGACCCGUUGCGUGUCGGUCUACGGCCCGAGUUGUUUGCCUGGCGCGUCGUCUAGUGCGCUCGCGUCAGACGCUCGAUCGCCCGGCCGGCUGCGUGACGGUACUCUGACGGUAUCGGGCAGCAACCAAUCCAUUUUCGAAUGUACGUGCGUCAGGCCCGCCGCAUGCUCGGUCAGUUUUCCCGGAGGUGUACGGACCUGGUGCCGUCCCCGGGCCUGGCCAGCUGUUUGCAGGCGGUGUUCUUGGACUGGCCAAGCUUCGAAUUACCGGUCGACGACGCUACUGCUUUGGGUACUCUCAGGACUCGUCUUGAAACACGGACCAAGGAGUCUAACAUGUGCGCGAGUCAUUGGUCUAUAUGAACCUAAAGGCGCAAUGAAAAUGAAGGUCGGGCUUUGCGUCGACCGAGGGAGGAUGGGCUGUGUUACGAUUUACGGUCUCGCACUCCCGGGGCGUCUCGUUCUCAUUGCGAGAAGAGGCGCAACCAGAGCGUACACAUUGGGACCCGAAAGAUGGUGAACUAUGCCUGGUCAGGACGAAGUCAGGGGAAACCCUGAUGGAGGUCCGUAGCGAUUCUGACAUGCAAAUCGAUCGUCAUAACUGGGUAUAGGGGCGAAAGGCUAAUAGAACCAUCUAGUAGCUGGUUCCCUCCGAAGUUUCCCUCAGGAUAGCUGGCACUCGCUCGUUCCUACGUUGAACGCAUGCGGGUCUCAUCUGGUAAAGCGAAUGAUUAGAGGCCUUGGGGCCGAAACGACCUAAACCUAUUCUCAAACUUUAAAUGGGUGAGAUCUCUGGCUUGCUUGAAUAUCAUAUGAAGCCACGAGAUUUUGAAUCAGAGUGUCAAGUGGGCCAAUUUUGGUAAGCAGAACUGGCGCUGUGAGAUGAACCAAACGCAGAGUUAAGUCGCCUAAGUCGACGCUUAUGGGAUACCAUGAAAGCGUUGGUUGCUUAAGACAGCAGGACGGUGGCUAUGGAAGUCGGAUUCCGCUAAGGAGUGUGUAACAACUCACCUGCCGAGGCAACUAGUCCUGAAAAUGGAUGGCGCUGAAGCAUCGCGCCUAUACUCCGCCGUCAGCGGCAAGUGAGGAGAGACGUGUCAUCCCCGGAUGGCCGUCCUCCAUGAAGCCCUGACGAGUAGGAGGGUCCCGGCGUUGUGCGCAGAAGGGUCAGUGCUUGAACCUGCCUGGAGCCACCGUCGGUGCAGCUCUUGGUGGUAGUAGCAAAUACUCCAGCGAGGCGUUGGAGGAAUGACGUGGACAAGUGUUUCGUGUGAACAGCCGUUGCACACGAGUCAGUCGAUCCUAAGCCCUAAGAGAAAUCCUAUGUGAAUGAGGUGUCCUAAAACAAAUGUUUUGUCUACAAGACACACACCCGUUGGGCGAUAGGGAAUCCGGUUUCUAUACCGGAACCCGUCAGCGGAACCGCAUACCAUUCGGGCCCUCGUAAGAGUGUUAGUCGGGGUAACCCAAAAUGACCUGGAGACGCCGUCGGGAUAUCCGGGGAGAGUUUUCUUUUCUGUAUAAGCGUUCGAGUUCCCUGGAAACAUCUAGCAGCGAGAUAGGGUUUGGAACGCGAAGAGCACCGCAGUUGCGACGGUGUCCGGAAUUUCCCCUCGGACCUUGAAAAUCCAGGAGAGGGCCUGGUGGAGGUGUCGCGCCGGUUCGUACCCACAUCCGCAGCAGGUCUCCAAGGUAAAGAGCCUCUAGUC